rnacentral:sRNA from 1 species
GGAAGUGUACUACUGAACAUAGAUCGCUAGUCUAAUUUGUAUCCGGCAGAUCUGCUCAGUUGAGUUGUUGACCCCACGUGGUUUCUAGAAGCCGAGACGUUCUCCCGAUGACUUUGCCUCACGGUCGAGAACGUCUGACUACUCGGCCACGCUUUCCAAAUUAUCAUAUUUGAUGACACUUCCAUACCAGGCACUAUCAGCUUGUAUAGUCAGCCAUUUUUUUUU